UUAAGGAAUUGACGGGACCGCACAAGCGUGGAUGAUGUGGUUUAAUUCGAUGCAACGCGAAAACCUUACCACCUUUGACAUGUACGGAAUCCUUUAGAGAUAGAGGAGUGCUCGAAAGAGAGCCGUAACACAGGGUGCUGCAUGGCUGUCGUCAGCUCGUGUCGUGAGAUGUUGGGUUAAGUCCCGCAACGAGCGCAACCCUUGUCAUUAGUUGCUACGAAAGGGCACUCUAAUGAGACUGCCGGUGACAAACCGGAGGAAGGUGGGGAUGACGUCAAGUCCUCAUGGCCCUUAUAGGUGGGGCUACACACGUCAUACAAUGGCUGGGUACAAAGGGUUGCCAACCCGCGAGGGGGGAGCCAAUCCCAUAAAGCCAGUCGUAGUCCGGAUCGCAGUCUGCAACUCGACUGCGUGAAGUCGGAAUCGCUAGUAAUCGUGGAUCAGCAUGUCACGGUGAAUACGUUCCCGGGUCUU
rnacentral:rRNA from 1 species